rnacentral:lncRNA from 1 species
GCAUAAUGUGCUUAUUUUAAUUUUAUUUUUCCUUCAAUAAAUGAUAAAUUUGAAAUAUUUCCUUUGGGUUUCACUGUAAAUAGAUGAAGUAAUAAUGUUGUAUUUAUUUUUAUUAUUAAACAUCUCAGAGAAAAGCAACUUCUGGAUUACCUCGAAUGCACUGGCAACAUAAGUAGCAACAGACUUCCAGACGAAGAAGCUUGUGUGGAACAUGUUAAAUGGUCUGUGAGAGGAUGGCCUGAAGCCCUGGGGUUUUCUGCACUUGGCACUUUUAUUGACCCCUGA